AUGGAAUGGAGCUGGGUCUUUCUCUUCCUCCUGUCAGUAACUGCAGGUGUCCACUCCCAGGUCCAGCUGCAGCAGUCUGGAGCUGAGCUGGUGAAGCCUGGGACUUCUGUGAAGAUGUCCUGCAAGGCUUCUGGAUACACCUUCACCAGCUACGUUAUAAGCUGGAUAAAGCAGACGACUGGACAGGGCCUUGAGUGGAUUGGAUAUAUUUAUUCUGAAAGUGGCAGUACAGGCUACAAUGAGAAGUUCAAGGGCAAGGCCACAUUGACUGUAGACAAAUCCUCCAGCACGGCCUUCAUGCAACUCAGCAGCCUGACAGCUGGGGAUUCUGCGGUCUAUUACUGUGCAAGACACAGCAUUGUCACUUGGGACCUGUGGUCCCAAGGCUCAAUUAUGUUCAUCUACACUGGCAACGAUUCUUCCAAUAACUCAUGUAGUGUGAAAGUAAAAGUAAAUGUAUCCUGCUGA